UGAGGAAUAUUGGUCAAUGGGCGAGAGCCUGAACCAGCCAAGUAGCGUGCAGGAUGACGGCCCUAUGGGUUGUAAACUGCUUUUAUGCGGGGAUAAAGUGCGGCACGUGUGCCUUUUUGUAUGUACCGUAUGAAUAAGGACCGGCUAAUUCCGUG
rnacentral:rRNA from 1 species